ensembl:lncRNA
CGGCAUAUGGAGAUUCCCAGGCUAGGGGUCGAAUCGGAGCUGUAGCCCCAGCUUACGCCAGAGCCACAGCAACACCGGAUCCUUACCCCCCUAAGCAGGGCCAGGGAUCGACCCGCAACCUCGUGGUUCCUAGUCGGAUUCGUUAACCACUGAGCCAUGACAGGAACUCCAGGUCCCCUUUUUUCCCCCAAUGACCAUGGAUACAUACUUCAAGUUAUAGUAAGUGUUGAUCAGGUCCCUUUUAUGACUACAUUGAGCAACCUGUCCCCUCCCACCCUUGCCAAACCAUGCUGAUCAUGGUUGGGAUGAGAAAUAAUGCCAGGAACUACAGUGAUGCCAACAUUAGCUCCAUAUUACGAGAAACUCUGUAAUGACUACAGCUGUCCCCACAUACCACUUUGAGAGCAGUAUGUCAGUGACUCCAAACUGGAUGGUCACUGCAAUCUGUGAAGCAUUAGAUGGCACAGUGAGUACUUAAUCUUUUUUUUUUUUUUUUGGCGCCACGCCCUCGGCAUGUGGAAGUACCUGGGACAGGGAUUGAACUGUCACCACAGCAGUGACCCAAGCUGCUGCCAUGAUAACACCAGAUCCUGAACCUACGGCACCACAACAGAACUCCUCCUUAAGCUUCUUUUAAUAACAAUACCACAUAUCCAUCUGAAGAACUAUCUCUUUCCCACUCUUGGUCCACAUCAGUCAGGUCAAGUCUCUGAAUACCAAGAGUGCACAAUAUUGGCCAAUCAGAGCGUUACUUUCUCCCUGCCCCUGUUAGCCAAUGCAGAAGCAGUGAGCUACAAGAAAGAUGAAGGUCCUCUCCCAUGCAUGAACUUGAACCUAAAGGAAGUGUGGUUAGGGCUUUCUGCUGCCAUCUUGCUGUAGUGAGGGAAGGCUCUCCUGAGAAUGGAACCAACAGAGAAGAUGUAGAGAUAAAAUGAGAGCAACCACGUCCUGGUACCAUAAUGAGCCCCUGGAUCAAACUCCACCUGAAGGUAGAUCCCCUCAGAUUUUUUUCAGCUAUACCAAGCAAUGAAUUUCUUUUGAAUUAAACUAGUCACCUGGUACCCCUUUUAACAAGGCACCCCACUCUCCAACUCAAGGAAGGCCCAACCACCCUCAUUAUUUUAUACCCAACCCACUUCAUUCAUUUAAGUCUCCUGCCUGGAUCCUGUAGGAUUUGUGUUCAACCCUUUUCUAUUUACACAUGGGUUCCUAGAUACAUAUGAACAUGUCAUUUUAAUCUGCCAGUGUCCUUCUGGAACAUUGAGUGUUAAUGUUUUCAUGACCUCACAUUAGUGUUCCAGGUACCGUAACGCUAAACAUCUUGGCUGAUAAUUCACCAUCAACUAUCAUGUCCCAAAGCUAUGAGGUGGGUCCUAUUAAUGUCCCCAUGUGAAAUAUGAGGAGGCUGGGGCCUAGAAAGACUCCAAGUGCAAGAGCAGUUUUCUUAACCUCUAUGCCACAGAGGCACACUGUCUCUAUUACCCUGUACUUAGGAGGCAGAAGAAUCUGUAGGGUGAACGGGAAUAUUUCCACCAAAUUCUGCAGGACUCUUGAAGGACUGUUUUUGCCCUCUUCCACCCCUCUUCCCUGGACUCUACCCCAAGGCCUGAGGGACCUGCAAUGGGCUGUCUCACCCACUCCUCCCCAGGAGUCUGCAGAGAACGCCCCCUCUGCUCCCACACGCCGCUUGACAGCGGAGCUGGCUAACCUUGCCUCCUCACACAAGCCUUUCCAGCAGCUCUGCUUCCCUCUGAAAUUACAUUAAAUCGUUCCAUUAGUGUCAAAAAAGGAAGAUGCAUGAUACUUUUAUGAAUUUCCUUUUUUAAAAAAAGUUAUCUUCAGAACUGUGCUCGUGCUGAUGGCUUCCAGAAAGCUGGAGGUUAUUUGGGGGCAGACUUUAUUUGCAGCAAACCACAAAAUCGGUCUAAAGGCCAGAGUUUAUUCCAGUUGACUUGCCUGAAUCAAUACAGAUGUGAUGAUGCGAAAUCAUGGAAGUCGACUUGAAUAGACCUUUCUCCAAAGAAGACAACACAAAGAGCCAGGAAGCACAUAAAAGAUCACUCAGCAGCAGGGAAAUGCAAAUCAAAACCAUAAUGAGGUACCUCCGCACCUCCAUUAAGAUGACGACUAUUAAAAAAUAAAAAAACAGAAAAUAGGGGAGUUCCCAUCAUGGUGCAGUAGGAACAAAUCCAACUAGGAUCCAUGAGGAUGCAGGUUCAAUCCCUGGCCUUGCUCAGUGGGUCGGGGGUCCAGUAUUGCUGUAAGCUGUGGUGUAGGUCACAGACGCGGCUCGGAUCCCAUGUUGCUGUGGCUCUGGCUGUGGCUGUGACCAGCAGCUACAGCUCCGAUUUGACCCCUAGCCUGGGUAUUUCCAUAUGCUGCAAGUGCGGCCCCAAAAAGCCAAAAAAAAAGCAAUUCCCUUGUGGUGCAGCAGAUUAAGGAUCCAGUGUUGUCCCUGAUGUAGCCCAGGGUGCUGCUCUGAUUCUGCUUUGAUCCAUGGCCCAGGAACUUCCACAAGCCUCGAGUGCAGAAAAAGAGAAAGGAAAAAGGGACAAAGAAAAAACAAAACAAAACAGAAAAUAACAAGUGUUGCUGGAGAAACUUGGAACUCUUAUACCCUGUCGUUGGGAAUGCAAAAUGCUGCAGUCAGUAUGGAAAACUGUAAGGAAAAUCCUCAAAAAAUUAAAAAUGAAAUUACCACGGGAUUCAGCAAUUCCGCUUCUGGGUAUAGAAGCAAAAGAAUAAAAGCACAGCUGUUACACCCAUGUUCACAGCAACAUUAUUCGCAAUAGCCAAAAGGUUUCAGGAGCAACCCCAGCGGCCAACAAUGAAUGAAUGAAUGGAUGAAUGAAUGGAUAAACAAAUUGGGGUGCAUCCAUACAACAGAAUAUUAUGCAAUCUUAGAAAGGAAGCAAAUUCUGAGACAGGCUACAUCAUGGAUGACCCUUGAAGACAUGAUGCUAAGUGAAAUAAGCCAGCCACAAAAAAAUAACAAAUAAGGCACCUGGCGUAGUCCAAACCAUGACAACGGAAAGCAGACCUGGGGUGGCCAGGGGCUGAGGGGACAGAGGAAUGGGAAGAGGUUGUGUAAUGAGUGCAGUCACAGUUCUGCAAGAUGAAAAGAGGUCUCUGCACUGAGACAUGUAGAUUGGACACUGUGGGGAGUUUUGCCACAAUUUCUUUAAAAAUCACGGAAGCAAUGAGAUGCUGCUGUAUAGCACAGGGAGUUAUAUCUAGUCACUUG